AGUUUUGAAUCAUGGCUCAGAUUGAACGCUGGCGGCAGGCCUAACACAUGCAAGUCGAACGGUAACAGGGAAGCAAGCUUGCUUCUUUGCUGACGAGUGGCGGACGGGUGAGUAAUGUCUGGGAAACUGCCUGAUGGAGGGGGAUAACUACUGGAAACGGUAGCUAAUACCGCAUAACGUCGCAAGACCAAAGAGGGGGACCUUCGGGCCUCUUGCCAUCGGAUGUGCCCAGAUGGGAUUAGCUAGUAGGUGGGGUAACGGCUCACCAAGGCGACGAUCCCUAGCUGGUCUGAGAGGAUGACCAGCCACACUGGAACUGAGACACGGUCCAGACUCCUACGGGAGGCAGCAGUGGGGAAUAUUGCACAAUGGGCGCAAGCCUGAUGCAGCCAUGCCGCGUGUAUGAAGAAGGCCUUCGGGUUGUAAAGUACUUUCAGCGGGGAGGAAGGGAGUAAAGUUAAUACCUUUGCUCAUUGACGUUACCCGCAGAAGAAGCACCGGCUAACUCCGUGCCAGCAGCCGCGGUAAUACGGAGGGUGCAAGCGUUAAUCGGAAUUACUGGGCGUAAAGCGCACGCAGGCGGUUUGUUAAGUCAGAUGUGAAAUCCCCGGGCUCAACCUGGGAACUGCAUCUGAUACUGGCAAGCUUGAGUCUCGUAGAGGGGGGUAGAAUUCCAGGUGUAGCGGUGAAAUGCGUAGAGAUCUGGAGGAAUACCGGUGGCGAAGGCGGCCCCCUGGACGAAGACUGACGCUCAGG
rnacentral:rRNA from 1 species